rnacentral:rRNA from 1 species
UACGGAGGGUGCGAGCGUUGUUCGGAAUCACUGGGCGUAAAGCGCGUGUAGGCGGCCCACUAAGUCUGAUGUGAAAGCCCGGGGCUCACCCCCGGAAGUGCAUUGGAAACUGGUGGACUCGAGUCCCGGAGAGGAGAGUGGAAUUCCUGGUGUAGCGGUGAAAUGCGUAGAUAUCAGGAGGAACACCGGUGGCGAAGGCGGCUCUCUGGACGGUGACUGACGCUGAGGAGCGAAAGCGUGGGGAGCGAACAGG